CGAAGGGGGCUAGCGUUGUUCGGAAUUACUGGGCGUAAAGCGCGCGUAGGCGGUUUUGCAAGCCAGAGGUGAAAUGCCUGAGCUCAACUUAGGAAUUGCCUUUGGGACUGCGAGGCUUUGAGGACUGGAGAGGUGAGUGGAAUUCCCAGUGUAGAGGUGAAAUUCGUAGAUAUUGGGAAGAACACCGGUGGCGAAGGCGGCUCACUGGCCAGUUUCUGACGCUGUAGCGCGAAAGCGUGGGGAUCAAACAGGAUUAGAUACCCUGGUAGUCCACGCUGUAAACGAUGAGUGCUAGGCGUCGGCAUGCUUGCAUGUCGGUGCCGCAGCUAACGCGUGAAGCACUCCGCCUGGGGAGUACGGUCGCAAGAUUA
rnacentral:rRNA from 1 species